AGAGUUUGAUCAUGGCUCAGGACGAACGCUGGCGGCGUGCUUAACACAUGCAAGUCGAGCGGUAAGGCCCCUUCGGGGGUACACGAGCGGCGAACGGGUGAGUAACACGUGAGCAACCUACCCUCAACUUUGGGAUAAGCCUCGGAAACGGGGUCUAAUACCGAAUAUCACUCCUUGUUUCAUGGCGGGGGGUUGAAAGUUCUGGCGGUUGGGGAUGGGCUCGCGGCCUAUCAGCUUGUUGGUGGGGUAAUGGCCUACCAAGGCGUCGACGGGUAGCCGGCCUGAGAGGGCGACCGGCCACACUGGGACUGAGACACGGCCCAGACUCCUACGGGAGGCAGCAGUGGGGAAUAUUGCGCAAUGGACGAAAGUCUGACGCAGCAACGCCGCGUGAGGGAUGACGGCCUUCGGGUUGUAAACCUCUUUCAGCAGGGACGAAGCGAGAGUGACGGUACCUGCAGAAGAAGGACCGGCCAACUACGUGCCAGCCGCCGCGGUAAUAC
rnacentral:rRNA from 1 species